rnacentral:rRNA from 1 species
CCUACGGGUGGCAGCAGUGGGGAAUAUUGGGCAAUGGAGGAAACUCUGACCCAGCAAAGCCGCGUGAAUGAUGAAGGUAUUCGGAUUGUAAAGUUCUUUUCUUAGGGAAGAAGAAAGUGACGGUACCUUCGGAAUAAGCCUCGGCUAACUACGUGCCAGCAGCCGCGGUAAUACGUAGGAGGCAAGCGUUAUCCGGAAUGACUGGGCGUAAGGGGUGCGUAGGUGGUUUGACAAGUUGGUAGCGUAACUCCGAGGCUUAACCUCGGCACUACUACCAAAACUGUUGGACUCGAGUGCAGGAGAGGCAAAUGGAAUUCCUAGAGUAGCGGUGGAAUGCGUAGAUAUUAGGAGGAACACCAGUGGCGAAGGCGAUUUGCUGGACUGUAACUGACACUGAGGCACGAAAGCGUGGGUAGCAAACAGGAUUAGAUACCCGGGUAGUC